rnacentral:rRNA from 1 species
GACGAACGCUGGCGGCGUGCUUAACACAUGCAAGUCGAACGGAAAGGCCCUGCUUUUGUGGGGUGCUCGAGUGGCGAACGGGUGAGUAACACGUGAGUAACCUGCCCUUGACUUUGGGAUAACUUCAGGAAACUGGGGCUAAUACCGGAUAGGAGCUCCUGCUGCAUGGUGGGGGUUGGAAAGUUUCGGCGGUUGGGGAUGGACUCGCGGCUUAUCCGCUUGUUGGUGGGGUAGUGGCUUACCAAGGCUUUGACGGGUAGCCGGCCUGAGAGGGUGACCGGCGACAUUGGGACUGAGAGACGGCCCAGACUCCUACGGGAGGCAGCAGGGGGGAAUAUGGCACAAUGGGCGGAAGCCUGAGGCAGCAACGCCGCGUGCGGGAUGACGGCCUUCGGGUUGUAAACCGCUGUCGCAGGUGACGAAGCGUGAGUGACGGUAAUGGGUAAAGAAGCACCGGCUAACUACGUG